GAUGAACGCUAGCUACAGGCUUAACACAUGCAAGUCGAGGGGAAACGAUAGAGAAAGCUUACUUUUUCUAGGCGUCGACCGGCGCACGGGUGAGUAACGCGUAUCCAACCUGCCCAUCACUUGGGGAUAACCUUGCGAAAGUAAGACUAAUACCCAAUGACGUCCAUAGAAGACAUCUGAAAUGGAUUAAAGAUUUAUCGGUGAUGGAUGGGGAUGCGUCUGAUUAGCUUGUGGGCGGGGUAACGGCCCACCAAGGCGACGAUCAGUAGGGGUUCGUAGAGGAAGUUCCCCCACAUUGGAACGGAGACACGGUCCAAACUCCUACGGGAGGCAGCAGUGAGGAAUAUUGGGCAAUGGACGAGAGUCUGAACCAGCCAAGUAGCGUGCAGGAUGACGGCCCUAUGGGUUGUAAACUGCUUUUAUAAGGGAAUAAAGUGGGAGUCGUGACUCCUUCUGCAUGUACCUUAUGAAUAAGGACCGGCUAAUUCCGUGCCAGCCGCCGCAGUAA
rnacentral:rRNA from 1 species